rnacentral:rRNA from 1 species
CGGACAACUGUGGUCGAGCGUCCGGGGUCAUGCGGUGGGGUCAUGCGUUGGGCGGAUUGAUUGGUGUUAAAGCGCGUGGAGGCGGCUUUGCAAGUCCGUUGUGAAACCUCGAGGCUCAACCUCGGGACGCCGGUGGAAACUGCAAAGCUAGAGUCCGGAAUAGGAGAGUGGAAUUCCUGGUGUAGCGGUGAAAUGCGCAGAUAUCAGGAAGAACACCCGUGGCGAAGGCGGCUCUCUGGGACGGUACUGACGCUGAGACGCGAAAGCGUGGGGAGCGAACAGGAUUAGAACCCCUGUAGUC